AGGGUGCUUAGAGCCACAGCGACGUGAGAUUGCGGCUUCAUCUGGGAGGAAAGUGAGUCUCAUUAUCCUCAGGCUCAGAAAAUCACUAAAGUUCAGCACUUGAAUGAGAGCCCCAAACCUCGUUCUCUUCCCAGGGCACUGGGUCCACGCUGGAGCAUCCCAGAGCUGAUCAAUCCCUCUGGAAGCAGGGACACCCCUGGCUCCAUAGGAUUCCAUUUUGCUGAACUACUGGUUCAGAAACACAAGAGCCUGACAUCUAUGGGAACACAGAGCCAGAAAACCCAGGCACAGACCAGGACAUCUCCGAGGUAUUUCCAGCAGGUAUCUGCUAGACGCGUUCUCUCUGCCAGCCCGCUGACUUGCUAGCUGUGGAGCAACUGCAGUACGUGCCCGUCCCUGUCACCAGGGGCUGGCCAUCAACAGAAGCUGCUCCUUCCAAGCCGGCCACGCGUCUACUACUUCAUCAUCCUCUCGGGGGUGCAUCCACGGCUCUCCCUACAAUGGGAGCUUCCUGAGAGGCACUUUCAUUUCUCUGUGCUUCCUCUGGGCUCACCAGCAAGUGCUAAACUGAAGGAAGAUAGAGUUAAAUUGUUUAGCAAUCAGAGUUUCUAUGACUGUCCAUCAUCACUGCAUCUCUUCUAUGACAUGAGACAUUGGUGCGAUGUGUCAUUAUGUUCAAAUGUGUGGGUCGGCCAGGGUGUAUCUGUAUGGACUGAAUGUGUCCCCAUAAAAUUUGUAUGUUGAAGCCCUAACCCCCAAUAUGAGGAUAUUUGGAGCUGGGGCCUUUGGGAGGUAAUUAAGUUAGAUGAGGUCAGAUGGACAUGGCCCCUGUGGUUGAGAUUAGCCCUAAUACCAAGAGAUAGCAGAGAGCUCCACCCUACUGUUGGCCACGUGCACACAUAGGGAGAAGGGGGCCGUCUAUAAGCAAGGAAGAGAGCCCUCAUCAGAAACCGAUCGCGCCAGCAUGCUGAUCUUGGAUCUGAGGCCUCCAGAACUGAGGGAAAAUAAAUGUCUGCUGUUGAAGUCACCCAGUCCAUAUUGUUUUGUUAUGGCAGCUGGGGUAAGACAGUGUCCUUCUCGGUUUCUACCCUUAACAGGAUAAAAAUCCCUGGAGCAAACCCUCUCCUUCCUCCCAAAGGAGCCAUGGGAAGCCACUCUCUACAAUUUGCAGCAAACACGGAAGCACCAGAAUCCUGCACGUAUGCUCGGAGGAAACGCACAGAGGACAAAUGCAGGGUCGCAGGAUACAAGAAUGGCAAAGGCUGACUCCAGAGAACGUUGUUAAGCUUCAAAUCUAUACUGUGCAUUGGAAGGUAAACAAGCAUCAUCCACACAACUAACUGACUGCAUUCACCAGCACACUCUGAAGUCUUCAACUACUGCUAUUAAUCUAUUUUUCUCAACAUUAUUUUCUUUCCUCAUUCUUGGAUUUCUUUUUAUUUAUGUAUUUAUUUUUUGAGAUGGAGUCUUGCUCUGUCGCCAGGCUGGAGUGCAGUGGCGCGAUCUCAGCUCACUGCAACCUCUGCCUCCCGGGUUCAAGUGAUUCUCCUGCCUCAGCCUCCUGAGUAGCUGGGACUACAGGCACAUGUCACCACGCCCAGCUAAUUUUUGUAUUUUCAGUAGAGACGAGGUUUCACCAUGUUGGCCAGGAUGGUCUCCAUCUCUUGACCUCGUGAUCCACCCACUUCGGCCUCCCAAAGUGCUGGGAUUAUAGGCGUAUGCCACUGCGCCUGGCCUCAUUCUCGGAUUUCUUUAACCUCUCCUUGGAGGGGACACAGAACUGGAUGACAAGGAAGAAACACUCCUGGGAGAUGUGGUUGGGGGCAGGAUAGAGAGAACAAAGGCCAGGGCCAGGCAAGGCUGGGGAAAGGAUGAAGGCUGAGAUUUGGGGGGUGAGGGAGGUGUCCAGAAGAUGAUGAGACGUUCAGGAGAAUGGGAGGGCAGGAAAACAGGGCAAGGUUUGGACGGGUCUCCCCGCUGCCGGGGGUCUGGUACUGCCUGUGCAGCGCAGGCUGGAGGGAAAAUGUAAGCUGCCCAGUGCCGCUGCCCUGCCCACCCCUGCUGCACCUCUGAGUCACUCAGUUCUUCCAAAGGAAAAGCUGGGAAGAAGGAGUUCGGUGUCUGGACUUCUAAUCAGCUUGUUCCUUACAGCACUAUUUACUGAGGGAAAGAUUUUAAAUGUUCAGCUAGGAAAACUGGUGGAAUAUAUUAGGAUACAUCAUGACAAAAAGAUGCAGCCUUUGACACACAACCUCUUAUAGUAUUUUUAACAACAGGCGGAAAGAGCCCUAUGUAACAUGAAGAAAAGUUAGAGACAAAGCCAUAUAUAUGUACGGUCCAGUCAGAUACCAAUUAGAUAAGCAGACUCGACAGAGACUAGAAAGAACACACGAAAAGCAGUAACAGGGACUAUUCUGUACUGGAGAAUUAAGGGCUAUUUUUCUUUUUUUCCAUUUUGGUAAUUUUGCAGGUUCUCUAGAAGCAUAAUUUGUGUUUGUAAUCUUUUUUUUUUUUUUUUUUUUUUGAGACAGUCUCACUCUGCCACCUAGGCCGGAGUGCAGUGGUGCGAUCUCGGCUCAUGGCAACCUCCGCCUCCCGGGUUCAAGUGAUUCCCGUGCUUCAGCCUCCUGAGUAGCUGGGAUUAGAGACACGCGCCACCACGGCCGGCUAAUUUUUGUAUUUUAGUAGAGAUGAGGUUUCACCAUGUUGGCCAGGUUGGUCUCAAACUCCUGACCUCGGGUGAUCUGCCUGCCUUGGCCUGCCAAAGUGCUGGGAUUACAGGCGUGAGCCACCACGCCUGGCUGUAUCUGUAAUCUUUAGAGGUAUUAAAAAAAAUAUAUCUUCAACUAAAGCUUAGACUGAUAGAAGAGGCAAAAGCAGGGCAAGAGAGAGGUGGCCCGACGCACACAUUUUGGUUGCUGGGGUCUCAUAACAGAACGGAACUUCUGAGGAUUCUGCCCCAUGCCCUGCUCUGGGGAGAGGGGUCCAUCGCCACCCCGCACAGCCGGUGAGUCCCCACACCAGCAGCCCCAGCCCCCACUCGC
rnacentral:lncRNA from 1 species